ACGGCUCAGUAACACGUGGAUAACCUGCCCUAUGCUCUGGGAUAACCUCGGGAAACUGAGAAUAAUACCGGAUAGAUCACAACGCCUGGAACGGUGUGUGGUUGAAAGGUUACGGCAUAGGAUGGGUCUGCGGCGUAUCAGGUUGUAGGGGGUGUAAUGGACCCCCUAGCCAUCGACGCGUACGGGUGUUGGGAGACAUAGCCCGGAGACGGAUUCUGAGACACGAAUCCGGACCCUACGGGGUGCAGCAGGCGCGAAAACUUCACACUGCAGGAAACUGUGAUGAGGGAACUCCAAGUGGAUGCACAUAGUGUAUCUCUUUUCUUUACUAUUAAUCGGUAUUGGAAUAAGGGCUGGGAAAGACCGGUGCCAGCCGCCGCGGUAAUACCGGCAGCUCGAGUGGUCGUCGCUUUUAUUGGGCCUAAAACGUCCGUAGCCGGUUUGGUAAAUCUGUGGGUAAAUCAACUAGCUUAACUAGUUGAAUUCUGCAGAGACUGCCAGACUAGGAACCGGGAGAGGUGUGGGGUACUCAAGGGGUAGGGGUAAAAUCCUGUCAUCCUUUGAGGACCACCAGUUGCGAAGGCGCCACACUAGAACGGAUUCGACGGUCAGGGACGAAGCCUAGGGGCACGAACCGGAUUAGAUACCCGGGUAGUCCUAGGUGUAAACGCUGUGAACUUGGUGUCGGGAGUCCGCAAUGGGCCCCCGGUGCCGGAGUGAAGAUGUUAAGUUCACUGCCUGGGGAGUACGGUCGCAAGGCUGAAACUUAAAGGAAUUGGCGGGGGAGCAC
rnacentral:rRNA from 1 species